ensembl:snRNA U6 U6 spliceosomal RNA
GUGUCAUCACACAUACCAAAAUUAGAACGAUACAGAGAUUAGCAUGGCCCCUGCGCAAGAAUGACAUGCAAAUUCGUGAAGAGUGUGGUCUUUUA